UACGUAGGGUGCAAGCGUUAAUCGGAAUUACUGGGCGUAAAGCGUGCGCAGGCGGCUAUGCAAGACAGAUGUGAAAUCCCCGGGCUCAACCUGGGAACUGCAUUUGUGACUGCAUAGCUAGAGUACGGUAGAGGGGAUGGAAUUCCGCGUGUAGCAGUGAAAUGCGUAGAUAUGCGGAGGAACACCGAUGGCGAAGGCAAUCCCCUGGACCUGUACUGACGCUCAUGCACGAAAGCGUGGGGAGCAAACAG
rnacentral:rRNA from 1 species